rnacentral:rRNA from 1 species
GUGUCAGCCGCCGCGGUAAUACGUAGGUGGCAAGCGUUGUCCGGAUUUACUGGGCGUAAAGCGCGCGCAGGUGGUUUCUUAAGUCUGAUGUGAAAGCUCACGGCUUAACCGUGGAGGGUCAUUGGAAACUGGGAGACUUGAGUGCAGAAGAGGAAAGUGGAAUUCCAAGUGUAGCGGUGAAAUGUGUAGAGAUUUGGAGGAACACCAGUGGGGAAGGCGGCUUUCUGGUCUGCAACUGACGCUGAGGCGCGAAAGCGAGGGGAG